UUUCAUUCCCUUCUUCUCUCUCUCGUCCCUGCGCCUCCAAACUCCCUCCUUGUCCAUGCCUCCAAUUUCUCCAUUCUUCUCCAUUCUUCUCUCUCCGUUUCUCGAUCUUCUCACUCCAGGUGGGCACUGAAGUUGGGUGGAUGAAAUCCUUUUCCUCCUCAGAUCACAGGAACAAGAAACAGUUGUUGCAUGCCUCAAAUUGUUACUGUUUCGACGAGGGUUAAUGGAGAGAAAGGGUAAAUUUGCAGCCGAAUGCCGAAAAUAAAUGUGCUUCAAGCUCCAGAUAUUAAAAAAAAAAAUCAUGAAAAAACCGAAAAAAAACCGAAACCGAACCGAAAAAAAA